GACGAACGCUGGCGGCGUGCUUAACACAUGCAAGUCGAACGGAAAGGCCCUGCUUUUGUGGGGUGCUCGAGUGGCGAACGGGUGAGUAACACGUGAGUAACCUGCCCUUGACUUUGGGAUAACUUCAGGAAACUGGGGCUAAUACCGGAUAGGAGCUCCUGCUGCAUGGUGGGGGUUGGAAAGUUUCGGCGGUUGGGUAUGGACUCGCGGCUUAUCAGCUUGUUGGUGGGGUAGUGGCUUACCAAGGCUUUGACGGGUAGCCGGCCUGAGAGGGUGAACGGGGAGAUUGGGACUGAGAGACGGCCCAGAAUCGAACGGGAGGCAGCAGUGGGGAAUAUUGCAAAAUGGGCGGAAGCCUGAUGCAGAAACGCGGCGUGCGGGAUGACGGCCUUCGGGUUGUAAACCGCUUUAGCCUGUGACGAAGCGUGAGUGACGGUAAUGGGUAAAGAAGCACCGGCUAACUACGUG
rnacentral:rRNA from 1 species